CUCGCAUGACGAUUAAUGAGCGGCUUGAUAAUUUAAUAUCGCGUGUGAUUAAAUUAUAAGGCGUGGGGGAGGGGAGCUCUGAGCUCCGUCGCCGGCCAGGGCCGACGCCGCGGAGCCUGCGGGUCUUGGCUGAGUGCAAACCGCGCUCUUCCUUCGCUCAGUGCCUGGCAGGCUGGGCAAGCGGCGGGUCCGCGCCUUCCCAAGGACCGCAAGCACGUUCGGCCGUGGCUACCCCUUUCUCUGGAAGUGUGAGCCGAGGUUUGGAGGCGAACGCCCCGCGUGGACCCGCGGGGGUAAAGGGGCCGGCUGCCCGCACAAUCCCCGCAGCUAUGGCGUAGUUCCUCGGCGGGAGAGAAGGAACUGGGGCAGCUCCAGCAUGCUGGAAGAUUAGAGCUCAUAGAGGCUGAAUGAAGGAGAAUUGAGGAGGAGAGGUCCUGAUGGAUAAGAAGUCUCUAUUUUCAGCCAGGCCGGUUGUCCAAGAGACAUUCAAAAUAAUGCAUUGCCCUAGGCAUUAGAAGGUGGCUAGCGUUCUUCUGGACAAUAGGAACAAAUGGAAACAUGGGCCAAGAGAAGAUUCUGGAACUCUUGCCCAUGUUUUUGUGGGUUUGUAGUCAGUGAAUGGACAUCCCUCCAGUCUCUGGGAUUCAGUCUCUUACACUGCGACUAGGCCCUUUGUCACUAUGUGUCCAAAGGCGGAGUGAGCCGUGGGAAACCUGGCCCAUGAUGUCCACAGGAAGUGAAUUGAGAGUUGUUUUCUUUUAACAGAAUCACUAAGGGAAGUUCAACAGACAACUGGGAUGAGUAUGAGAGUAAAAGACUGACGCUUCCUCUGUUGCUCCUAGUGACAAGUGGGGGUAUUUCUAUAGCUCCUGAAUAUGUUCUCCCUGCAACCCCCACCCUACCUUUUAAUUAAAUGCCCUUAAUUGCCCUUUUGGAUCAAAACUUUCUUUAUUGUGGCAGUCAAAGUAGGCUUGCUUUAGCUCACUUCAUGGCUAAAGAUAUCAGAUGUGUAAAAGAUGAUGGGUUAUACACAUUUUCAUGAUGAGCAGCUCUUUGUGUGUUGAAGUUAGCUAGCAUGCAGAAAAUGCACUUUGCUGGGCUCCUGGAAAUGUUUAAUGGAUGUUGGCUCUAAGAGAGGCAAAAUGUAGCAUGGGUUCUGCUACAGGGCACACUUGGGUUUUAAUUCUCCCUCUGUCACUAGCCUUGUGACCUUGAGCACAUUUGAAAACUCAUUUAGAUGUGUGAAAAGUUGUCCUCAUCUGGGAAUUGAGAACAGCAGUACCUAAGUCAUGGGGCUGUUACAUUCAAUACGAAGAUAUGUGCUAGGUUUUUAUAAAGUUCACUGAAACAAAGUUGUAUUUAAUAAAUGAGUUUUAAAGCAAGGUUCUUUUUUUUUCUCCCUCUUAGAAGGCUGUACCUCCAAUUUCCCUUUUCUCAUUUUACCAUUCUGCAUCCCCACCCCACCCCCUUCUACUCCACACCCUUCUCUGAGUCUACCAGUUCUCUGUAUUUAUGAGUCUAUUUCUGCUUUUUUGUUUUUUUAGGUUUUGUGUAUAAUUAAAAUCAUAGGAUAUUUCUUUCUGUUUCUGAUUUAUUUCGUUUAGCAUAGUACCCUCUAGGUCCAACC